rnacentral:piRNA from 1 species
GAAGAAAUCCGAGUCCUCGAC